GACGAACGCUGGCGGCGUGCCUAAUACAUGCAAGUUGAGCGAUGAAGAUUGGUGCUUGCACCAAUUUGAAGAGCAGCGAACGGGUGAGUAACGCGUGGGGAAUCUGCCUUUGAGCGGGGGACAACAUUUGGAAACGAAUGCUAAUACCGCAUAACAACUUUAAACAUAAGUUUUAAGUUUGAAAGAUGCCAUUGCAUCACUCAAAGAUGAUCCCGCGUUGUAUUAGCUAGUUGGUGAGGUAAAGGCUCACCAAGGCGAUGAUACAUAGCCGACCUGAGAGGGUGAUCGGCCACACUGGGACUGAGACACGGCCCAAACUCCUACGGGAGGCAGCAGUAGGGAAUCUUCGGCAAUGGACGAAAGUCUGACCGAGCAACGCCGCGUGAGUGAAGAAGGUUUUCGGAUCGUAAAACUCUGUUGGUAGAGAAGAACGUUAGUGAGAGUGGAAAGCGCAUCAAGUGACGAUAACUACCCAGAAAGGGGCGGCUAACUACGU
rnacentral:rRNA from 1 species